AGAUUGGUGAUGAUGGUGAAUGGAACCAUCACAAAUGUGUUCGUCCAUUCUUCGAAUAUGCUCUUCUUGCUGGGGAUUAUUGCUAAUGCUUCCAGCUGGUUUGCUCCACAACUUAGUCUCUUGAUGAUUUCCCGUUCAUUCGUGAUAUUAUUGGCCGGAGAUUCUUGGCUCAAGUCCACCAUCUCAAUCUCAUGGCUGCUAGGACUCUUUGAUGGGUUCCA
rnacentral:misc_RNA from 1 species